rnacentral:rRNA from 1 species
AGCGAACGCUGGCGGCAGGCCUAACACAUGCAAGUCGAACGAACUCUUCGGAGUUAGUGGCGGACGGGUGAGUAACACGUGGGAACGUGCCUUUAGGUUCGGAAUAACUCAGGGAAACCUGUGCUGGUACCGAAUGUGCCCUUCGGGGGAAAGAUUUAUCGCCUUUAGAGCGGCCCGCGUCUGAUUAGCUAGUUGGUGAGGUAAAGGCUCACCAAGGCGACGAUCAGUAGCUGGUCUGAGAGGAUGAUCAGCCACAUUGGGACUGAGACACGGCCCAAACUCCUACGGGAGGCAGCAGUGGGGAAUCUUGCGCAAUGGGCGAAAGCCUGACGCAGCCAUGCCGCGUGAAUGAUGAAGGUCUUAGGAUUGUAAAAUUCUUUCACCGGGGGCGAUAAUGACGGUACCCGGAGAAGAAGCCCCGGCUAACUUCGUGCCAGCCGCCGCCGUAA